AUUGAACGCUGGCGGAAUGCUUUACACAUGCAAGUCGAACGGCAGCACGGACUUCGGUCUGGUGGCGAGUGGCGAACGGGUGAGUAAUGUAUCGGAACGUGCCCAGUCGUGGGGGAUAACGUAGUGGAAAUUACGCUAAUACCGCAUACGAUCUAUGGAUGAAAGCGGGGGAUCGCAAGACAUUGCGCGAUUGGAGCGGCCGAUAUCAGAUUAGGUAGUUGGUGGGGUAAAGGGCCACCAAGCCAACGAUCUGUAGCUGGUCUGAGAGGACGACCAGCCACACUGGAACUGAGACACGGUCCAGACUCCUACGGGAGGCAGCAGUGGGGAAUUUUGGACAAUGGGCGAAAGCCUGAUCCAGCCAUUCCGCGUGCAGGAUGAAGGCCCUCGGGUUGUAAACUGCUUUUGUACAGAACGAAAAGGUUUCUACUAAUACUAGGAGCUCAUGACGGUACUGUAAGAAUAAGCACCGGCUAACUACGUGCCAGCAGCCGCCGUAA
rnacentral:rRNA from 1 species